GAGCACCGUUGGCUCUAUUAGUGAGUCUAUUUAUCUGCUGUACUGUAGGGGGACCUCAAGGACCACAAAUACUCAGUUAUACUUUUGAUCAGAAGCCACACAAUAUAUGACACUCCCACCUGCAACUCUUUAUCUCUGUGACUACACUGACAGUUUUCUGACUUUCUGAACAUGGACAACAUCAAACACACUCUCAUCAGCUUGUUACUAUUUCUGCUCUGCAUAAAAGGUCUUAUUGAUGGGAGUGAUGUCACCAAGACUGACAUACUGUGGAAAAAACAGGGGGAGAACGCAACAAUGAACUGCAACUACCCCAUGGGUUCUGGCUUCUUCCAGAUGUACUGGUACAGACAGCUGCCAGGAGAAACAAUAAAACUAAUAGUCUUCACAAGACUCGGCAAAAAUGAUCAUGAUUUUGGAGAUUUCACUAAAGAGAAAUUCUCAGCCACCAAGCCUGAUGCUUUGAGUGGGACGUUCACAGUGAAGAAUCUGGAGCCAGAAGAUAAAGGCUUGUAUUUCUGUGCUGUGAGUCAACACAGUGAUACAGACACAUUCAACAGCUGAACAAAAACCCCAGAGCCCCGUUGGCUCUAUUAGUGAGUCAGUUUAUCUGCUGUACUGUAGGGGGACCUCAAGGACCACAAAUUCUCAAGUUACACAUUUGAUCAGAAGCCACACAAUAUAUGAC